GUGAAUCAUCGAAUUUUUGAACGCAAAUUGCACUCUCCUCUGAGAGUAUGCCUGUUUGAGGGUCAGCCUAAAAAAAAAAUCGACAUCGUUGCUGUUUCUCGGUGACUUUAGUCGGAAAUUGGGUCAUCUUAAACCUUUUGGUUUUUAAGCGACUUUAUAUUUUUUUUUGACCCCAUAAACGUUUCUAAGAUUUAUAUCUUUCCCCUUUUAAAGGCAUCGAU
rnacentral:misc_RNA from 1 species